rnacentral:tRNA from 1 species
GUGGGUGUAGCUCAGUUGUAAAGUAUAUGCUUAGCAUUCAGAAGUCCUGGGUUCAAUCCCCAGUACCUCCA